rnacentral:rRNA from 1 species
GGAGGCAGCAGUGGGGAAUUUUCCGCAAUGGGCGAAAGCCUGACGGAGCAAUACCGCGUGAGGGAGGAAGGCUCUUGGGUUGUAAACCUCUUUUCUCAGGGAAGAAAAUUGACGGUACCUGAGGAAUAAGCAUCGGCUAACUCCGUGCCAGCAGCCGCGGUAAUACGGAGGAUGCAAGCGUUAUCCGGAAUGAUUGGGCGUAAAGGGUCUGCAGGUGGCCGUGUAAGUCUGCUGUUAAAGAAUCUGGCUUAACCAGAUAAAAGCAGUGGAAACUACAGGGCUAGAGUGCGUUCGGGGUAGAGGGAAUUCCUGGUGUAGCGGUGAAAUGCGUAUAUAUCAGGAAGAACACCAGUGGCGAAAGCGCUCUACUAGGCCGCAACUGACACUGAGGGACGAAAGCUAGGGGAGCGAAUGGGAUUAGAUACCCCAGUAGUCCUAGCCGUAAACGAUGGAUACUAGGCGUGGCUUGUAUCGACC